UACGUAGGGUGCAAGCGUUAAUCGGAAUUACUGGGCGUAAAGCGUGCGCAGGCGGCUCUGAAAGUCAGAUGUGAAAGCCCCGGGCUUAACCUGGGAACUGCAUUUGAUACUCUGGAGCUUGAGGGCAGGAGAGGAACGCGGAAUUCCAGGUGUAGCGGUGAAAUGCGUAGAUAUCUGGAGGAACACCGGUGGCGAAGGCGGCGUUCUGGACUGCAUCUGACACUGAAAGACGAAAGCCAGGGAGCAAACGGG
rnacentral:rRNA from 1 species